rnacentral:lncRNA from 1 species
AAAGUCUGCCUUCUGGAAGAACCAUUCUGACAAUUUCCUGUGCUGUCAGAUAGCUCCACAGAAUUCAGUUUCUGAGAACCAGCCAGAGGCAUGCAGUGACAUUGCGUAACCGCUUCUGAAGUGAGAGAUAUCAGCUGCCGGGCUCAGAGGAGCUGGUUCACAGGAGCAACAUGAAAGGAGCAGGCAUCCUGGACGGAGCGCCCAAGACCCUCUUGGCCAAGGCACUUUAUGACAACCACCCCGACUGCGCCGAUGAGCUGGCUUUCUGCAGAGGAGACAUCCUGACAAUUCUGGAACAAAAUGUACCGGAAAGUGAAGGCUGGUGGAAGUGUCUGCUCCACGGGAGGCAAGGCCUGGCCCCUGCCAACCGCCUCCAAAUCCUAGCGGAGGCCCCCACAGACAGGCCUCGUCCCCCUUUCCUGAAAGGCCUAGACAAUGCUCCCGCCAUCUCCCAGGAGACCUAUGAGGUGCCUGCCCUGCUCAACCCCUCAUCUCCUGUGUACGAGCAGAUGAAGAGUUGGGUGGAGGGGCCCCCGCCUCCCACAGUCCAAGUUUACGAAGUCCCUGACCCACCUACCUGUGCCAGAAUCGUCUGUGAAAAGACCCUAAGCUUUCCAAAACAGGCUGUCUUCAUGAUUCCCAGACCUGCUCGGACCUCAUUACCAGCCCUCGCUUGCCAGGUGUACGACGUGCCUGCUCAGAACCGGUGCCCACCAACCCUGAAGGAGCCAGGCACGCAGCAGCUAUAUGAUAUCCCCCCCAGCCCCCAAAAGGCAGCACUGGGUCCCCUGGCCAGCCAAACAAAUAAUUCCAGCUCCCUGGUCCCCCGGCCUUUGAGUCAGCAGAAUCCUGAGAAGAAAAUUCGCCUUUCUGAACAUUGCCGCCUCUAUUUUGGGGCGCUCUUCAAAGCCAUCGGCGUGCUGAACAGCAGCCUCCAGAACAGCCAACCCCCCGAGACCUUCAUCACGCAGAGCAAGCUGGUCAUCACGGUCGGGCAGAAGCUGGUGGACAGGCUGUGCCGGGAGACCCAGGAGCGGGACGUGCGCAAUGAGAUCCUGAGAGGCAGCAGCUGCCUCUGCAGCCUGCUCAAGGACUUAGCGCUGGCCACCAAGCAAGCCGUGCUCCAGCACCCCAGCCCCGCCGCCCUGCAGCACCUCCAGGCUGAAGCCAAGAAGCUGGAACAGCAUGCACAGCAAUUCAGGGGGAUGUUGGAAUAA